UCAAGUUUUUGUCAGUCUCAGUCUCCAGUCCAGGGCCUCAUAGAGGUUAAGGGCGCCAUAGCUGUCCAGUCCUCUUGGGAAAGAGUAAGGAUUUGCGGUGGCAGGCUCAGGGUUGAGUAGCCAAGGCUAGGGAUAGGGCUGAGUCCUGGCAUUCUGGCCGGGAGUCUGGACGCUGAGCUUAGAGGACUGCUGCUGAGAGCCUGGGAGCUGCGAGGUUGAGGCUGCGGGGGUUGGAGACCCAGGAGGUUGUCAGGGUUAAAUCAGAAGGGGAGGGGAGGAAGAGGCUGCAGGCCUGCGAGGCUGGGCGACUGGGAGGGGACAGAAGAGGAGGGAUGGGGGGAGGAGGUACAUGCCGAGAGGUGAGAACCCGGCAGUACCUGACAGGCUGGGCGCUUCGGAGCUGAGGCCGGCAGUCGGUCUGACUGAGGGGCGGGAUCGGGAACGGCGAAAACUAAGGAAACGCAGCUUGAAAAGGCUGUGUAGUGAAGGAGAGCUGCCCGGUACAAGGCUGCGUGGACCCCGGUGAGGACCGGGACCAGGCAGCGGCCGCGGCGUUCGCUCCUGCCUCCCGGCCAGUUGCACACCAGCGCCCCCGCCCACCGCGCCAGCUGCAGGCCAGGAACAUGUAUUUUGUAAUCAGAAAAAGAAGAACUGAAACGAUAAAGUAUCCUUUCAGCUAUUUUCCAUCACCUGCAGGAUUGAGGCCCACGCCUUUUGGCCUGGCAUGCGAAGCCCUCCGAGACCUCUGCUCCGCUAGCCAGUCUCACCACCUACUCCUUCCAGGAAUUUUCUCUCCCAGUUCCACUGAGCCACGUUUUGUUCCCUAGAAACACUUCAUCAUCCUUUUGGGCUUUACACAUGCUCUUCCCUCUGACUAGAAUUCCUGUUCCCUGCCUUGCCCAUCUUAAAAACCACUCGCAUUCCAUGUGCUGCUCAGGGAUCUUCUCCUGUGAAACCGCUCCUGAUCCUCUCCCACAGCCAACCUGCCAAACAGUGACUCCUCUCUCUCUCCUCUUUACCCAGUAAAGAUACUGUUAUCACUCUA